rnacentral:rRNA from 1 species
GAGCUUGCUCCCUGAUGUUAGCGGCGGACGGGUGAGUAACACGUGGGUAACCUGCCUGUAAGACUGGGAUAACUCCGGGAAACCGGGGCUAAUACCGGAUGCUUGUUUGAACCGCAUGGUUCAAACAUAAAAGGUGGCUUCGGCUACCACUUACAGAUGGACCCGCGGCGCAUUAGCUAGUUGGUGAGGUAACGGCUCACCAAGGCAACGAUGCGUAGCCGACCUGAGAGGGUGAUCGGCCACACUGGGACUGAGACACGGCCCAGACUCCUACGGGAGGCAGCAGUAGGGAAUCUUCCGCAAUGGACGA